UGCGGCGUAGCUCAAACGGAAGCCAGAGCGUUCGUCUCGUAAACGAGAAGAUGUGGGUUCGAGUCCCACCGCCGCAA
rnacentral:tRNA from 1 species